GAUGAACGUUGGCGGCGUGUCUAAUACAUGCAAGUCGAACGAGGAGCCUUGAAGUUUGUAUUCGUACAGACGGACGGGAUUUCCUAGUGGCGAACGGGUGAGUAACGCGUUGGUGACCUGCCCCGAAGUGGGGGAUAACUCUGGGAAACUGGAGCUAAUACCCCAUGUGGUCAUUUGGAUUAGAUGCCAGAUGACGAACGGAUUUAUUCGCUUCGGGAGGGGCCUGCGUCCCAUCAGCUAGUUGGUAAGGUAACGGCUUACCAAGGCGACGACGGGUAGGGGGCCUGAGAGGGUGGCCCCCCACAAUGGUACUGAAACACGGACCAUACACCUACGGGUGGCAGCAGUAGGGAAUAUUGGACAAUGGGCGAAAGCCUGAUCCAGCAACGCCGCGUGUGCGAUGAAGGCCUUCGGGUCGUAAAGCACUUUUCUGAGGGAAGAGAAAGGACGGUACCUCAGGAAUAAGUCUCGGCUAACUACGUG
rnacentral:rRNA from 1 species